rnacentral:rRNA from 1 species
GACAGAGGCCUCAAGCGUUAGGCGGAAUCACUGGGCUUAAAGCGUGUGUAGGCGGAUCGUUAAGUGUCUUGUGAAAUCCCACGGCUCACCCGUGGAACUGCUGGGCAUACUGGCGAUCUUGGGCCAACUAGGGGCAACUGGAACAAGCGGUGGAGCGGUGAAAUGCGUAGAUAUCGCUUGGAACGCCGAAGGUGAAAACAGGUUGCUGGGGUUGUGCCGACGCUGGAGACACGAAAGCCAGGGGAGCAAACGGG